AAAAUUGAUGUGUUGGUCUAUCUGGAAUAUUAAUCAUCGAAGCUGCAAGUAAAUAAUUAUAAGGGUUUUGUUCUAACCAUGAAGACAAUACUACUUCUGGCAUUAAUGUUUUCCUUAAGUUUCAUGGUUGCUGCCUAUGCUGAUCAGAAAUCACUUUCCAAGUAUCGACACAUUUUAGUCGAUUUUCAGAGGUCCUUUCCAUCAAAACAACCAUUUCCAGACAUAUCAUCUAACAAGCUUCUUCAUCAUCUCAACACUCAACGCCCAUUGACCGAUCCGAUUUUGUUCAAAAACAAAUCACCACAAGCUGGGGCAAAUGCAUCACCUUAACUAGACCUCGCUAUAUAUGUGAUUAAUUCUUAAUCGUAUUAUGUUUGUAUUUUGUUAGAAUCUAGAUUUUGAUACGAUGUUCUAUUAUUGCAUAUUCAAAUGAUGUAUGUGAGAAUAAUGGCUUCAUUAGUUGCGUUGUCG